rnacentral:rRNA from 1 species
GAUGAACGCUGGCGGCGUGCCUAAUACAUGCAAGUCGAGCGAACAGACGAGGAGCUUGCUCCUCUGACGUUAGCGGCGGACGGGUGAGUAACACGUGGAUCACCUACCUAUAAGACUGGGCUAACUUCGGGAAACCGGAGCUAAUACCGGAUAAUAUAUUGAACCGCAUGGUUCAAUAGUGAAAGACGGUUUUGCUGUCACUUAUAGAUGGAUCCGCGCCGCAUUAGCUAGUUGGUAAGGUAACGGCUUACCAAGGCGACGAUGCGUAGCCGACCUGAGAGGGUGAUCGGCCACACUGGAACUGAGACACGGUCCAGACUCCUACGGGAGGCAGCAGUAGGGAAUCUUCCGCGAAGGGCGAAAGCCUGACGGAGCAACGCCGCGUGAGUGAUGAAGGUCUUCGGAUCGUAAAACUCUGUUAUUAGGGAAGAACAAAUGUGUAAGUAACUAUGCACGUCUUGACGGUACCUAAUCAGAAAGCCACGGCUAACUACGUG